GAUGAACGCUGGCGGCGUGCCUAAUACAUGCAAGUCGAGCGAACAGACGAGGAGCUUGCUCCUCUGACGUUAGCGGCGGACGGGGGAGUAACACGUGGAUAACCGACCUAUAAGACUGGGAUAACGUCGGGAAACCGGAGCUAAUACCGGAUAAUAUAUUGAACCGCAUGGUUCAAUAUGGAAAGACGGUUUUGCUGUCUCUUAUAGAUGGAUCCUCGCCGCAUUAGCUAGUUGGUAAGGUAACGGCUUACCAAGGCAACGAUGCGUAGCCGACCUGAGAGGGUGAUCGGCCACACUGGAACUGAGACACGGUCCAGACUCCUACGGGAGGCAGCAGUAGGGAAUCUUCCGCAAUGGGCGAAAGCCUGACGGAGCAACGCCGCGUGAGUGAUGAAGGUCUUCGGAUCGUAAAACUCUGUUAUUAGGGAAGAACAAAUGUGUAAGUAACUAUGCACGUCUUGACGGUACCUAAUCAGAAAGCCACGGCUAACUACGUG
rnacentral:rRNA from 1 species